rnacentral:rRNA from 1 species
GGACGAACGCUGGCGGCGUGCUUAACACAUGCAAGUCGAACGGUGAAGCGCCUUCCUUUUUGGUGGGUGUGGAUGAGUGGCGAACGGGUGAGUAACACGUGAGUAACCUGCCCCCUUCUUCUGGAUAACCGCAUGAAAGUGUGGCUAAUACGGGAUAUUCUGGGUCUGUCGCAUGAUGGGUCUGGGAAAGAUAUUGUUUCGGUGGGGGAUGGGCUCGCGGCCUAUCAGCUUGUUGGUGGGGUGAUGGCCUACCAAGGCGGUGACGGGUAGCCGGCCUGAGAGGGUGGACGGUCACACUGGGACUGAGACACGGCCCAGACUCCUACGGGAGGCAGCAGUGGGGAAUAUUGCACAAUGGGCGCAAGCCUGAUGCAGCGACGCCGCGUGAGGGAUGGAGGCCUUCGGGUUGUGAACCUCUUUCGCCAGUGAAGCAGGCCUGCCUCGUUUGUGGGUGGGUUGACGGUAGCUGGAUAAGAAGCGCCGGCUAACUACGCG